GAUUGUUUGGCCCUUAUUAUCAGCAACUUUCAUCCUGGCCAGUGAGUAAAUGGAAAGCAGUGUAUAAACAUGCUAUGAAUAAUGAGGAGCAGCAAUGAGUAAAAAAUGCUAAGUAUUGUUAAAAAGAUAGAAAUUCCUUUUCAAGCACAUCUGUAGAAAGAUUGUUACACUCUUCAGGUUUGAUAGGUUCAGCCUUGUGCAGUGGUAUGCCAGCAAAUUGCAGCGUUCUUGUCGUUGUUGCCCUUUACAUAGGCAUAACUUUGAUCAGGAGAGAAAAUGAAGGAGAUUUAUUUUGUUCAAAAAAUUGGGAGUUUGAAAUUUUCCAUUCUGAACAAAGUGAAAAGAAAAGCAGCUUACUUAGAAAAGAGAACAUAGAUAACACUACAAAUGUCUCCAGCUGAGAACAAUAUCCUGGAAUAUACUCUGGAGAAAAAUCAGCUGAGUGUAAUAGAAACACAAAUAAGUCAGCCUGUGCUUCUCAUAGCUCAGACAACUCCUUAGGCAACCAAAUUUCUGAGUAUUUUUCUCUCAAGAGUAGUGAUCCUGUUUUAUGUAUUUAGUUAAGUAUUCAUCAGUCUGAAAGCAGAGGUAAGAGAUCCUCUACAUCUCAGAGGUACGUGUUGGAUCUUCACUGACUAAAGCACACAGAGCAGGGAAUGGAAGAUUUUUCCCAUGAGCUCAGAGGGUUAUCAUCAGUGACGCUGAGUCCAGUUGGAGGACUGUGCGGGGCACUGAGGGUGAGAGAACGUAUGACAGCAAAACACAGAAAGAGAAGAAGACACAGCAUGUCAUUUUACAGUGGGAUUGUUAGUUGUAAGACGGUUUGUAGUCAGACACGAUUCCUGCAUUUGUUACAUUGAAGUUUGGAGGGGCAAAUUAUUUCUCCGCU
rnacentral:lncRNA from 1 species